rnacentral:misc_RNA from 1 species
GUUGAAGAACGUAGCGAAAUGCGAUAAGUAGUGUGAAUUGCAGAAUUCAGUGAAUCAUCGAAUCUUUGAACGCACAUUGCGCCCCUUGGUAUUCCAUGGGGCAUGCCUGUUCGAGCGUCAUUUGUACCUUCAAGCUCUGCUUGGUGUUGGGUGUUUGUCUCGCCUCUGCGUGUAGACUCGCCUCAAAACAAUUGGCAGCCGGCGUAUUGAUUUCGGAGCGCAGUACAUCUCGCGCUUUGCACUCAUAACGACGACGUCCAAAAGUACAUUUUUACACUCUUGACCUCGGAUCAGGUAGGGAUACCCGCUGAACUUAAGCAUAUCAAAAGCGGAGGA